UACGUAGGUGGCAAGCGUUGUCCGGAAUUAUUGGGCGUAAAGCGCGCGCAGGCGGCCUUUUAAGUCUGAUGUGAAAGCCCACGGCUUAACCGUGGAAGGUCAUUGGAAACUGGAAGGCUUGAGGAUAGAAGAGGAAAGUGGAAUUCCACGUGUAGCGGUGAAAUGCGUAGAGAUGUGGAGGAACACCAGUGGCGAAGGCGACUUUCUGGUCUAUAACCGACGCUGAGGCGCGAAAGCAUGGGGAGCAAACAGGAUUAGAUACCCUGGUAGU
rnacentral:rRNA from 1 species